AGAGUUUGAUCAUGGCUCAGAACGAACGCUGGCGGCAGGCCUAACACAUGCAAGUCGAACGCUGUAGCAAUACAGAGUGGCGCACGGGUGAGUAACGCGUAGGAAUCUACCCAUUAGCCUGGGAUAACAGCGGGAAACUGCUGCUAAUACCGGAUACGCCCUUCGGGGGAAAGGUUUACUACUAAUGGAUGAGCCUGCGUUAGAUUAGCUAGUUGGUGAGGUAAUGGCUCACCAAGGCUCCGAUCUAUAGCCGGUCUGAGAGGACGAUCGGCCACACUGGGACUGAGACACGGCCCAGACUCCUACGGGAGGCAGCAGUGGGGAAUAUUGGGCAAUGGACGCAAGUCUGACCCAGCCAUGCCGCGUGUGUGAUGAAGGCCUUAGGGUUGUAAAGCACUUUUAGUAGUGAAGAUGAUGACAGUAGCUACAGAAAAAGCCCCGGCUAACUUCGUGCCAGCCGCCGCGGUAAUAC
rnacentral:rRNA from 1 species